rnacentral:other from 18 species
CUUUCAAUUCUUUCUGUGUUGCUAC